rnacentral:rRNA from 1 species
UACGGAGGGUGCAAGCGUUAUCCGGAUUCACUGGGUUUAAAGGGUGCGUAGGCGGUCGGGGUAAGUCUGACGUGAAAUCUUCAAGCUCAACUUGGAAACUGCGUCGGAUACUAUUCGGCUAGAGGAAUGGAGGGGAGACUGGAAUACUUGGUGUAGCAGUGAAAUGCGUAGAUAUCAAGUGGAACACCAGUGGCGAAGGCGAGUCUCUGGACAUUUCCUGACGCUGAGGCACGAAAGCCAGGGGAGCAAACGGG